GAGUUCGGAACCCUAUAGGCCCUUGCCCCGCCGAGGGUCCUGAAUUCCUCGCCCCCGGGGUGCUGAAUCCCACAGCCCGCGUCCCAUCGCGUGUGGGGCUGCGACUGCUCGCGAGGCUGGCAGCAGGGCGCGAGCUCCGGCAAGGCUCCCCGGGGGCAGGCGGCGGAGCCCAUGGGCCGCGGCCUAGACGUGCCGGGGGCCCGGGCUCGAGUGUGGCGGCCGCCUGGCGCCUCCUCACCUUCUCUUCCACGCAGUUGACUAUGAUGGACGGGUACUUGCGGCUGAGCCAGCGGAAGAACGCCGGGACUCCCAUAGCGGCACACGGCUGGAGGCGGCGGCCGACCGGCUGACGAGCGUAACCAAAGAGACGGGAGCAGCGGCAGAGGGCACCAGCACUUCCUCCCACGUGCGCGCUGGAGAACGGAAGUGACGUCACGGCGCCGCCGCCGGGGAAGCUGGGAAGGAGGCUUCGCUGGAUGAGGGAGCGGCGGAAAAGGG
rnacentral:lncRNA from 1 species